CGGAGGGUGCAAGCGUUGUCCGGAUUUAUUGGGUUUAAAGGGUGCGUAGGUGGCCUUAUAAGUCAGCGGUGAAAGUCUGCAGCUUAACUGUAGAACUGCCAUUGAUACUGUAAGGCUUGAGUACUGAUGAGGUAGGCGGAAUUGAUAGUGUAGCGGUGAAAUGCAUAGAUAUUAUCAAGAACACCGAUUGCGAAGGCAGCUUACUAAGGAGUUACUGACACUGAGGCACGAAAGCGUGGGGAUCAAACAGGAUUAGAUACCCUGGUAGUCCACGCCAUAAACGAUGAUUACUCGAUGUAUGCGAUAGACAGUAUGCGUCCAAGCGAAAGCGUUAAGUAAUCCACCUGGGGAGUACGACCGCAAGGUUG
rnacentral:rRNA from 1 species